rnacentral:rRNA from 1 species
CCCUUAGAUGUUCUGGGCCGCACGCGCGCUACACUGAUGCAUUCAACAAGUUCACCUUGGCCGAGAGGCUUGGGCAAUCUUUUGAACAUGCAUCGUGAUAGGGAUAGAUUAUUGCAAUUAUUAAUCUUGAACGAGGAAUUCCUAGUAAACGUAGAUCAUCAAUCUGCAUUGAUUACGUCCCUGCCCUUUGUACACACCGCCCGUCACACCUACCGAUUGAAUGGUCCGGUGAAGCCUCGAGAUUGUGGCCAGCUCGCUUUAUUGGGAGUUGGUUGCGAGAACUUGUCUAAACCUUAUCAUUUAGAGGAAGGUGAAGUCGUAACA